GGGGCCAUAGCUCAGCCGGGAGAGCGCUACAAUGGCAUUGUAGAGGUCGGCGGUUCGAUCCCGCCUGGCUCC
rnacentral:tRNA from 1 species